GCAAUCUGUGUACAAUAUAGGAUUUAAAAAAUCUGACACUAAAUUUUUAGAAUACUUGGCUUGCACUGAAGAUGCUGAUAUGAUUAAAAACUAUUUAAGAUAUAAAUCUAAUUUUGAAAAAGAAAAUCAAUAUCUUCUUAACAGUUUCUUAUAUAUUAUUACGAAGCAUGCGAAUAAUCAAAUUAUCCUAAAGGACAUAUUCGAUAAUUUUUUUUUUAACAUAAGACCAAAACAUGUUCAUGUGACUGCAGCAUUAAUUAUUAUUAUUAAUAAUGUAUAUUCCAUAAAUCUUCUAACUGAGGAAAUAAACGAUUACGUUAAAAGUUG